AUACGUAGGGGGCGAGCGUUGUCCGGAAUGAUUGGGCGUAAAGGGCGCGUAGGCGGCCCGGUAAGUCUGGAGUGAAAGUCCUGUUUUUAAGAUGGGAAUUGCUUUGGAUACUGUCAGGCUUGAGUGCAGGAGAGGUAAGUGGAAUUCCCAGUGUAGCGGUGAAAUGCGUAGAGAUUGGGAGGAACACCAGUGGCGAAGGCGACUUACUGGACUGUAACUGACGCUGAGGCGCGAAAGUGUGGGGAGCAAACAGGAUUAGAUACCCUGGUAGUCCACACCGUAAACGAUGAAUGCUAGGUGUAGGGGGUAUCGACCCCUUCUGUGCCGCAGUCAACACAAUAAGCAUUCCGCCUGGGGAGUACGGCCGCAAGGUUGAAACUCAAAUGAAUUGACGGGG
rnacentral:rRNA from 1 species